rnacentral:misc_RNA from 1 species
UGGUUCUGGCAUCGAUGAAGAACGCAGCGAAAUGCGAUAAGUAAUGUGAAUUGCAGAAUUCAGUGAAUCAUCGAAUCUUUGAACGCAUAUUGCGCCCUUUGGCAUUCCGAAGGGCAUGCCUGUUCGAGCGUUAUUAUCAACCAUCAAGCCUGGCUUGUUGUUAGACUCUUGGUUAUAAGGACCGGUCUUAAAGAUAAUCGGUAGAACCUCAUGGCUCCCAGUAUAACAAGCUUUUUUAUAGCAUAUAUCUGUAGGCCUGUGGUCUUACCUGUAAACCCCCAAUUUUCUUAGGUUAACCUCGGAUCAGGUAGGAAUACCCGCUGA